GUAGGUGGCAAGCGUUGUCCGGAAUUAUUGGGCGUAAAGCGCGCGCAGGCGGUCCUUUAAGUCUGAUGUGAAAGCCCACGGCUCAACCGUGGAGGGUCAUUGGAAACUGGGGGACUUGAGUACAGAAGAGGAAAGCGGAAUUCCAAGUGUAGCGGUGAAAUGCGUAGAGAUUUGGAGGAACACCAGUGGCGAAGGCGGCUUUCUGGUCUGUAACUGACGCUGAGGCGCGAAAGCGUGGGGAGCAAACAGGGAUUAGAUACCCUGGUAGUCCACGCCGUAAACGAUGAGUGCUAAGUGUAGGGGGUUUCCGCCCCCUUAGUGCUGCAGCUAACGCAUUAAGCACUCCGCCUGGGGAGUACGGCCGCAAGGCUG
rnacentral:rRNA from 1 species